UAGGGAAUCUUCCACAAUGGACGCAAGUCUGAUGGAGCAACGCCGCGUGAGUGAAGAAGGUUUCGGACCGUAAAGCUCUGUUGUUGGUGAAGAAGGAUAGAGGUAGUAACUGGCCUUUAUUUGACGGUAAUCAACCAGAAAGUCACGGCUAACUACGUGCCAGCAGCCGCGGUAAUACGUAGGUGGCAAGCGUUGUCCGGAUUUAUUGGGCGUAAAGCGAGCGCAGGCGGAAGAAUAAGUCUGAUGUGAAAGCCCUCGGCUUAACCGAGGAAUUGCAUCGGAAACUGUUUUCUUGAGUGCAGAAGAGGAGAGUAGAACUCCAUGUGUAGCGGUGGAAUGCGUAGAUAUAUGGAAGAAUACCAGUGGCGAAGGCGGCUCUCUGGUCUGCAACUGACGCUGAGGCUCGAAAGCAUGGGUAGCGAACAGGAUUAGAUACCCUGGUAGUCCAUGCCGUAAACGAUGAGUGCUAAGUGUUGGGAGGCUUCCGCCUCUCAGUGCUGCAGCUAACGCAUUAAGCACUCCGCCUGGGGGAGUACGACCGCAAGGUUGAAAC
rnacentral:rRNA from 1 species